rnacentral:rRNA from 1 species
UGGGGAAUACUGGACAAUGGGCGCAAGCCUGAUCCAGCAAUGCCGCGUGUGUGAAGAAGGCCUUCGGGUUGUAAAGCACUUUUAUCAGGAGCGAAACGCUGUCGGCUAAUACCCGGCGGAACUGACGGUACCUGAGGAAUAAGCACCGGCUAACUUCGUGCCAGCAGCCGCGGUAAUACGAAGGGUGCAAGCGUUAAUCGGAAUUACUGGGCGUAAAGCGUGCGUAGGCGGUUUCUUAAGUCUGCUGUGAAAUCCCCGGGCUCAACCUGGGAAUGGCAGUGGAUACUGGGAGGCUAGAGUGUGUCAGAGGGUGGUGGAAUUCCCGGUGUAGCGGUGAAAUGCGUAGAGAUCGGGAGGAACAUCAGUGGCGAAGGCGGCCACCUGGGACAACACUGACGCUGAGGCACGAAAGCGUGGGGAGCAAACAGGAUUAGAUACCCUGGUAGUCCACGCCCUAAACGAUGCGAACUGGAUGUUGGUCUCAACUCGGAGAUCAGUGUCGAAGCUAACGCGUUAAGUUCGCCGCCUGGGGAGUACGGUCGCAAGACUGAAACUCAAAGGAAUUGACGGGGUCAUAGCUGUUUCC